AUGUCAGGUCCAACUUCCUUGGCAGCAGGAGCGGCAGAAAGAGAGACCCAUGCCUGCCCACCCUGCUCCCUUGUGGAGGUGACUCGGGGCACCCAGAUCCUUGCCACUACACUGCAGAGCAAGGGCCUUGUCUUGGAAAGAAUAAAUCUUCAGCUCCUUGUGAAUGAAGCUGCAGGCCUGCUGACGGUGCUUGAAUUUGUGAUGUGCCUGGGACACACAGGCAGACAAGGAGAGGCACUGAGGGAGAAUCUCAGCUUCAUGGAGGCAUCAGUGUUAAUGGUAUUUGGCCAUUGGGAAACUGCUUACUCAUCCUGGCAGGGACAGGGGGGCUUUUUGGUGAAUGUCUCCCUUUUCCCCAGCACAAAUUUAACUCCUUUGUUUAUAAAGGAAAAAACCAACCCCAACCAUGUGGGUUGUCUUUCACACGGGUUAAAACAAGCCAACUCCACCCAAAGCUGCCCAGGACUGGGCCGCUGUGGCUGCCCUGGCCCUGGGGCACGCACCACCUCCCACAUGCUCGCUGCUGCACUGCUGCGGCCAGAGAGGAUUUCUGUGUUUCUUUUUCAUGACAGCAGACACAUCUCCCCCAUGACAGGAUGA
rnacentral:lncRNA from 1 species